rnacentral:rRNA from 1 species
UAGGGAAUCUUCGGCAAUGGGGGGAACCCUGACCGAGCAACGCCGCGUGAGUGAAGAAGGUUUUCGGAUCGUAAAGCUCUGUUGUUAAGGAAGAACGAGUGUGAGAAUGGAAAGUUCAUACUGUGACGGUACUUAACCAGAAAGGGACGGCUAACUACGUGCCAGCAGCCGCGGUAAUACGUAGGUCCCGAGCGUUGUCCGGAUUUAUUGGGCGUAAAGCGAGCGCAGGCGGUUAGAUAAGUCUGAAGUUAAAGGCAGUGGCUCAACCAUUGUAGGCUUUGGAAACUGUUUAACUUGAGUGCAGAAGGGGAGAGUGGAAUUCCAUGAGUAGCGGUGAAAUGCGUAGAUAUAUGGAGGAACACCGGUGGCGAAAGCGGCUCUCUGGUCUGUAACUGACGCUGAGGCUCGAAAGCGUGGGGAGCGAACAGG